rnacentral:rRNA from 1 species
GACGGACGCUGGCGGCGUGCUUAACACAUGCAAGUCGAACGGAAAGGCCCCCUUGUGGGGUACUCGAGUGGCGAACGGGUGAGUAACACGUGAGUUACCUACCCUCGACUUUGGGAUAACUUCAGUAAACUGGGGCUAAUACCGGAUAGGAGCUCCUGCUGCAUGGUGGGGGUUGGAAAGUUUCGGCGGUUGGGGAUGGACUCGCGGCUUAUCAGCUUGUUGGUGGGGUAGUGGCUCACCAAGGCUUUGACGGGUAGCCGGCCUGAGAGGGUGACCGGCCACAUUGGGACUGAGAUACGGCCCAGACUCCUACGGGAGGCAGCAGUGGGGAAUAUUGCACAAUGGGCGGAAGCCUGAUGCAGCAACGCCGCGUGCGGGAUGACGGCCUUCGGGUUGUAUACCGCUUUCGCCUGUGACGAAGCGUGAGUGACGGUAAUGGGUAAAGAAGCACCGGCUAACUACGUG